GUGAAGGGUGAAGAGGGCCCCACUCCAGGAUCUAAGCAACUUUCUCCCAACUCCGCCCAUCUCAGAGGCCAGAGGGGGGCCCUGGAAUCCCACCGCACGGCCCUUCUUCCCAGCGGGCCUUGCGGCUGCAGCCUCCGUUGAGUCCCCCUGCGCCCCUCCACCUCCACGUCCCUUGGCGUCGGUCGAGCCCUACCUAAACGCGUUAGGAAGGGUGCACUACGACGGGCCCGUCCCGCCGAACUCGGCUCGGCCCUGGGCACAGUGGAGGGGGCGCUGGCGCCCUUUCCGCCCCGACCGCUGCAACGCAGGAUGCUCGCAAGAGGUGGUCCCCGGCCGGCGAGCGGACCCGCGCCAGGUGAGCGCACAGGCGCCCCCAGCUCAGCACGUGGUUCUUAUUUAUCCCCGUUUUAUCCGAGCAAACAAACGCUUCCUGUCACUUCCUGUCGCUUCCUGUCUUGGGUGUUGGCCCCCAAGACCCACAGAUUCCAGCAGCUCAGUGACCAGGAGAAGAAUGUGUACAAAGAAAACCACCCCCAGGCACAACGACGGAACCAAACUAGAGCCGAAAGUCUUGACAACGGCCAGAGAAGGAUGGAGUCCAGGGAAGGCAGUCUGAGUGGUGGAGAGAGGCUCAGAAGUCAGAAACGACGCAGGACAGAGCACAGUGGAAUGUCCUCUUCAAAGUGCCGGCGUAAAAAAAACUCUUGCCAACCGGCAGUUUCUAUCUAGCAAAAAUAUCCUUUAAGAUUAGAUAAACAGGGGCCCCGGCCGGCCCAGUCAGUGGAGUGUGCAUCUCUUGAUCUCAGGGUUGUGAGUUUAAGCCCCACGUUGGGUGCACAGGUCACUAAA